rnacentral:ncRNA from 2 species
GCGUCAGGAUCGGGAGAAUCCAGUUGGAAACUUCUGGUGCCGAAGGAGCAACCGCCCCGGUAAACUCUCAGGCGCAAAGGACCGUUCUGGCACA